CUGGCCAGUGUGGACAGCCUGCCACCUGGGUCUCCUGAUGGAGCCCACACAUGUCGGGUCACCUCUGGGGGGUGGGCACUCUCCCCGGCUCCUAGCCUCUCCCCUCAGGGCCCUCCCUGGACCCCAGUCCUCUCCUGAGAGCCCACUCCUCCUCCCACAGCCAGGCCCUGCCCCUGCACGUCACCCCUCAGGGAGGCCCCUACACCUCCAGACUGGCUCCUCUCCUGUGACACCCCGUUGGCCAUGCCUCCCAGGGGGUGUUUGAGUUCCCACUGGCAAAUAGGCCUUUCUGGGCGACGGCGUCCUCAUUCCAUCCCCUGAACGUCCAGAUUCGGGGUGGGGAGCUGAGGAGAAAAGAGAGGAGGAAGUGUAACGGAGCGCAGUGAGCUCCGCCCUCAGCAGAGCAGCCGUUGUUGUGCAUCAUUGCUCCGCACCGCCAGGGCAGGUCCUGCUCAGCCAUUGGUUGGGGCCUGGGGCAUGGCGCCCACUGGCAACCAAUGGCCACUGAGCGGCCCUGAGUAGUCCUGCUCAGUCAUUGGACAGUGCAGCACUGAGCCCCGCCCACAAGCAACUGUCGGUUAAGGAGUGACAGUUUAGGAGUCAGACGGCAGUGGAGUGGUGGUACUGAGGUGGAGACGAGUAUGGUUUGGAAAGGAACCACACCACUGGCUUUCCCAGGCCUCCAGCUUGCAGAUGGCAUGGCAGUUUCUGGGACUUCUCAGCUUCCAUCAUCAUGAAGGCCACUAACAAGAGUCAGCAGAACUCCUUCAGCCUCCAGAGACUUUUCUUGCAAAGUCCAGAGCACCAGGGUCUUGAAAGCUCCUCCAGGUGAUUGACACUGAAUAAACGUUACUCCUUGUCAUGGAGUAUGUGAGUUGA